GGACACUUUACCUACAAAAUUCUUCCCUAACAGAACAGAUGGCUUAGUGACUGUCCUUCCUCCUUCACAGGAUACUCCCAAGAUGCAGGACUGACUCAAGGCUGAGUGGUAGAGAUGCUCAUUUUCAAGUCGCACCAUGCAUUGGACUUCCCGACACAUCCCUUCUGUGCCCCAGAUCAUCACCUGUGACCUGUAUGCUUGGCCACCAGCCCACAGAAUGAUUAGAAGGGGCUUCUAUCAACAAAAGAGAAGGGCAGAAGGGGCUGGUGACAGAAGCAGGGGUAAGUAAGGCCACCAGGAACAAUUGGGAACCAUCAUGAUGUGAGGCUACAACAGCUUGGGGAGAAGCUGUGCCGUGGAGGAGCCAGGUGGGUAAGGGAGGGCACAGGGGUGUUAGCCACACCCCGCCCCCAGCUGUGUUCCCGAUGUCCACUGGCUAAAUUCAGUCAGAAGCAAGAGAGAAGGGAAGCCUGGCAGCCUGGUGAGCCACAGAACUCAGGGUAGAGAAGAGAUACGACUGUCAGAAAUGGACGCUAGCC
rnacentral:lncRNA from 1 species